rnacentral:lncRNA from 1 species
CGUCUGUUCGUGGAAAAUUUUGCUGCAGGUGUCAGAAGCCUGCGUUGAGCUCCGCUCAGGGUCUCUCUGUGUAAACCUGGCUAUCCUGAAACUCACUAUGUGGACCAGGCUAGUCUGGACCCCCCCAGAGAUCUACUUGCCUCUGCUUUCAGAGUGCUGGAAUCAAAGGACCCAGGGAACUCCCUCAGAAGAGGAGCCAGAAAGAAUGUAAGAGCAGACAGGAUGGAGGACUGCAAGAAAGCAAGGCCCUCUAAAUCAACAUGAGCAGAGCUCAUAUGAACUCACAGAGACUGAGGCGGCAUGCACAGGGCCUGCAUGAGUCUGCACCAGGUCCUCUGCACAUAUAUUAUGGCUUCUACUUUAAUGGGAUUCCUGAUGAGCAAAUGAAUGGGUCUUUGAUUCUUGUGCCUUCUGUUGGGCUCUUUUCCUUCUCUUACCCAACUUUGAUGUGAUAGUUUUUGUCUUAUUAUAUUUGAUUAUGUUGUAUUUUAU